rnacentral:tRNA from 1 species
GCACGCUUGGUUUAGUGGUAAAAUCAGCGCUUCCCAUGGCUCACUUACAGGCAUGCAUGCGCUGGCCCCGGGUUCGAUUCCCGGAGUGUGCA